AACGGGUGAGUAAUACAUCGGAACGUGCCCAAUCGUGGGGGAUAACGCAGCGAAAGCUGUGCUAAUACCGCAUACGAUCUACGGAUGAAAGCAGGGGAUCGCAAGACCUUGCGCGAAUGGAGCGGCCGAUGGCAGAUUAGGUAGUUGGUGAGGUAAAGGCUCACCAAGCCUUCGAUCUGUAGCUGGUCUGAGAGGACGACCAGCCACACUGGGACUGAGACACGGCCCAGACUCCUACGGGAGGCAGCAGUGGGGAAUUUUGGACAAUGGGCGAAAGCCUGAUCCAGCCAUGCCGCGUGCAGGAUGAAGGCCUUCGGGUUGUAAACUGCUUUUGUACGGAACGAAACGGCCUUUUCUAAUAAAGAGGGCUAAUGACGGUACCGUAAGAAUAAGCACCGGCUAACUACGUGCCAGCAGCCGCGGUAAUACGUAGGGUGCAAGCGUUAAUCGGAAUUACUGGGCGUAAAGCGUGCGCAGGCGGUUAUGUAAGACAGUUGUGAAAUCCCCGGGCUCAACCUGGGAACUGCAUCUGUGACUGCAUAGCUAGAGUACGGUAGAGGGGGAUGGAAUUCCGCGUG
rnacentral:rRNA from 1 species